rnacentral:snRNA from 1 species
GGAUGUGAGGGCGAUCUGGCUGCGACAUCUGUCAUCCCAUUGAUCGCCAGGGUUGAUUCGGCUGAUCUGGCUGGCUAGGCGGGUGUCCCCUUCCUCCCUCACCGCUCCAUGUGCGUCCCUCCCGAAGCUGCGCGCUCGGUCGAAGAGGACAACCAUCCCCGAUAGAGGAGGACCGUUCUUCGGUCAAGGGUAUACGAGUAGCUGCGCUCCCCUGCUAGAACCUCCAAACAAGCUCCCAAAUGCAUCCUGGUUCCAGCCCCAGUGUCUUAGAACAAAAAAAAGCAUGACCCCAUUUCAAAUGAAAGAAAUAG